rnacentral:rRNA from 1 species
ACAAUUUGUCUGGUUAAUUACGUUAACGAACGAGACCACAGCCUACUAAAUAGUACAUGUUAUGGUAACAUAGUAUGAGACUUCUUAGAGGGACAUUUCGGGUUUACCGAAAGGAAGGUUGUGGCAAUAACAGGUCUGUGAUGCCCCUAGAUGUUCUGGGCCGCACGCGCGCUACACUGACGACUUCAAAAAGUUUUUUGGCAUUGCCAAAUUUCCUUGGCCGGAAGGUCUGGGUAAUCUUUUAAAAGGUCGUCGUGAUGGGGCUAGAUUCUUGCAAUUAUUAAUCUCCAACGAGGAACC